AAAUGAGAAGGUGUAUUAUUCGCUAGGGGAAGAAGCAAAAUAUUAUUCAUCUUCGGAUGAGGGAGUAGAUUUUUCAUUGAACAUCGAUAAUGCAAGAUGCAGUUUUUACCCCGAGUGGUGGGGGUUCUGCACUUGUACUGGGCAAGAAGAAUACGUUCCACCGGAGUCUACCUCUUGCCCCAAACCCAAGCCCAUCUCUGACAGAAAACAAACAAGAAACACAUGAAACAGCCGAGCCGCCACCUCCUGUUGCCUCUCCAAACUUGAGCCAACCUCCAGCAACUACCAACACCCACAGUGAAGAUAAAAAUUAAUAAAUUAUUUUAAAUUCAA